rnacentral:lncRNA from 1 species
AGGAAGCCCGCAGCUCAGGAGUGGACCAUCUCUGUCCCGUUUCCCUUUUCAGAUGGCCAAUCUUCUGUCAGCCAGACGUGUCACAGAGGUGCAACGACGUACUCAGAGGCAGGCAUCUAAUUGUCUCCAACCUCGGUGAGAGAUGAGUAGCAGCACUGCUUCUUUCAGGUGGGUCUGAGAGCUGCUGUGGAACUGAAGACCAGGAGUUGCCUACGUUAACCGGAGGACUGAGAUGCUCUGAUCAGCCUGCCUGCUGAGGCAGUGGUUACAGCUCGAGUAGCAUACGUGAGUGCUAAGAGGCUCUAACCAAGAUUUUUCCUCUUGUAGAAAACAUACAACUGAAUUCUGCUUCUAUAACCAAAAGCAUUUUCACUUUGGAAGUCACCGCUGAGCUAACUGGCGCUUAGGUACCCUCGUGGUUAAAAGCCCUGUGAGGUUUGCAGGCUGGAGGUGAUCAGAGGACUCUGACUCCUGAGCUUGGGGGGGAUUUAAGCUGUGAUGGUUUAAAACUAACUACCUGGCUGUCUGCGCCUCUUCGUAGCAUGAGGCUACUCCCCCAGCAGGCGUAAUCUG